UGUAAGCGUAUACCAAAGUUGUUGCAGUUAAAACGCUCGUAGUCGGAAUUUGGCAGUUCCGGAUGUGUGCACGUCGUGUGCGCACUUCGCGGGGAUUGCUUUUGUGGUCUUGCGUAGGAUGAGGCACUUUUAUUAGUGAACGUCCUCACGCAACCACUUUUUACUGUGAGAAAAUCAGAGUGCUCAAAGCAGGCAUUUGCCGUGAAUGUAUUAGCAUGGAAUAAUAGAAUAGGACUUGGUGCUAUUUUGUUGGUUUGUUGGGACUGAGUAAUGAUUAAGAGGGACAGUUGGGGGCAUUUGUAUUUCGGUGCUAGAGGUGAAAUUCUUAGAUUACCGAAAGACAAACUGCUGCGAAAGCGUCUGCCAAGGAUGUUUUCAUUGA
rnacentral:rRNA from 1 species